rnacentral:rRNA from 1 species
AGUGAACGCUGGCGGUAGGCCUAACACAUGCAAGUCGAACGGCAGCACAGUAAGAGCUUGCUCUUACGGGUGGCGAGUGGCGGACAGGUGAGGAAUACAUCGGAAUCUACUUUUUCGUGGGGGAUAACGUAGGGAAACUUACGCUAAUACCGCAUACGACCUACGGGUGAAAGCAGGGGAUCUUCGGACCUUGCGCGAUUGAAUGAGCCGAUGUCGGAUUAGCUAGUUGGCGGGGUAAAGGCCCACCAAGGCGACGAUCCGUAGCUGGUCUGAGAGGAUGAUCAGCCACACUGGAACUGAGACACGGUCCAGAUUCCUACGGGAGGCAGCAGUGGGGAAUAUUGGACAAUGGGCGCAAGCCUGAUCCAGCCAUACCGCGUGGGUGAAGAAGGCCUUCGGGUUGUAAAGCCCUUUUGUUGGGAAAGAAAAGCAGCAGGUUAAUACCCCGCUGUUCUGACGGUACCCAAAGAAUAAGCACCGGCUAACUUCGUG